CGGUUGCAUCGGGUAGAUGCGCGCUGUAGCAAUACGGCGUGAGGAAAGUCCGAACACGUACUCGUGAAAGCGAGUAGCAGGGUAGCGGGUAACGCCCGUCGUGCGUGAGCAUAGAGGUGCGAGCAGAAACGUCCGAUUCCGAAAGGAUAGGAACCCCGUGAGAUAAAGGUGUCUGAGUUACUUGGUAAUCGGAUUUUGAUAAAAAGUCCAACAUAAGUAAUAAAUCGGGCAUCAUUAUCUCACGGGGUAUCUUACUGGUAACAGUGAGGUGAAACGGCAAAAUCCUUACCUACGUGCAAGGCCGUGUCCCGUUUUCGGGAAGUGCCGCUUGAGGUGGUGAGCAAUCAUCAUCCUAGAUACAUAUCUAUCGACAACAGAAUUCGGCUUAUAGAUGCACACCAUAAU
rnacentral:RNase_P_RNA from 1 species